AGAGUUUGAUCCUGGCUCAGAACGAACGCUGGCGGCAGGCCUAACACAUGCAAGUCGAACGGUCCUUCGGGAUAGUGGCGCACGGGUGCGUAACGCGUGGGAAUAUACCCUUGAGUACGGAAUAAUGUCUGGAAACGGACACUAAUACCGUAUAAUGACUUCGGUCCAAAGAUUUAUCGCUCAAGGAUUAGCCCGCGUCUGAUUAGUUUGUUGGUGAGGUAACGGCUCACCAAGACUACGAUCAGUAGCUGGUCUGAGAGGAUGAUCAGCCACACUGGAACUGAGACACGGUCCAGACUCCUACGGGAGGCAGCAGUGAGGAAUAUUGGACAAUGGGGGCAACCCUGAUCCAGCCAUGCCGCGUGAGUGAAGAAGGCCUUAGGGUUGUAAAGCUCUUUCAAUAGUGAAGAUAAUGACGGUAACUAUACAAGAAGCCCCGGCUAAAUUCGUGCCAGCAGCCGCGGUAAUACGAAUGGGGCAAGCGUUGUUCGGAAUCACUGGGCUUAAAGCGUGCGCAGGCGGAUAUGCAAGUCAGGAGUGAAAUCCCAGGGCUCAACCCUGGAACUGCUCUUGAAACUGCAUAUCUAGAAUACUGGAGAGGUCGGGAGAAUUCCUAGUGUAGAGGUGAAAUUCGCAGAUAUUAGGAGGAAUACCAGUGGCGUAGGCGCCCGACUGGACAGUUAUUGACGCUCAUGUACGAAAGCGUGGGGGAGCAAACAGGAUUAGAUACCCUGGUAGUCCACGCCGUAAACGAUGUAUGCUAGUUGUCGGGGGCUUAAGUCUUCGGUGACGCAGGGAAACCACUAAGCAUACCGCCUGGGGAGUACGGCCGCAAGGUUAAAACUCAAAGGAAUUGACGGGGACCCGCACAAGCGGUGGAGCAUGUUGUUUAAUUCGAAGCAACGCGAAGAACCUUACCUACUCUUGACAUCCUUCUUGGGGCUUUCAGAGAUGAUUGCCUUCGGUUCGGCCGGGGAAGUGACAGGUGCUGCAUGGCU
rnacentral:rRNA from 1 species